rnacentral:rRNA from 1 species
CCUACGGGAGGCAGCAGUGGGGAAUUUUGGACAAUGGGCGCAAGCCUGAUCCAGCCAUUCUGCGUGCAGGAUGAAGGCCUUCGGGUUGUAAACUGCUUCUGUACGGAACGAAAAGGCUCUGGCUAAUACCUGGGGCUCAUGACGGUACCGUAAGAAUAAGCACCGGCUAACUACGUGCCAGCAGCCGCGGUAAUACGUAGGGUGCGAGCGUUAAUCGGAAUUACUGGGCGUAAAGCGUGCGCAGGCGGUUAUGUAAGACAGAGGUGAAAUCCCCGGGCUCAACCUGGGAACUGCCUUUGUGACUGCAUGACUAGAGUACGGCAGAGGGGGAUGGAAUUCCGCGUGUAGCAGUGAAAUGCGUAGAUAUGCGGAGGAACACCGAUGGCGAAGGCAAUCCCCUGGGCCUGUACUGACGCUCAGGCACGAAAGCGUGGGGAGCAAACAGGAUUAGAUACCCCUGUAGU